rnacentral:misc_RNA from 1 species
GAUGAAGAACGUAGCGAAAUGCGAUAAGUAAUGUGAAUUGCAGAAUUCAGUGAAUCAUCGAAUCUUUGAACGCACAUUGCGACCGCCAGUAUUCUGGCGGGCAUGCCUGUUCGAGCGUCAUUUCAACCCUCAGGACCCUUUGGACCUGGUGUUGGGGCUCGGCCGCUACCCCGCGGCCGUCCCCGAAAGAUAGUGGCGGUCUCGCUGUAGCGUCCUCUGCGUAGUAAUUACACCUCGCACUGGAACGCGGCGCGGCCACGCCGUUAAACACCCCACUUCUCAAGGUUGACCUCGGAUCAGGUAGGAAUACCCGCUGAACUUAAGCAUAUCAAUAAGCGGAGGA